UGAUUUUGAACUUAUACUGAUUAAUUAAUUAAUUACCAGGAACCCUCUCCUCCGGGCAGGUGGAAGCCUGGAAUUCCGGGGAGAUGGGAUGUCAGAGAAGACAGGAGAUCUCCAGCGAUUUCAGGCGUCGGAUUCCUGCGGGGGCCGGGCAUACUGAUUGACUAAUUCGCCGGAACUGUCUGCUCCGGGCAGGUGGAAGCCUGGAAUGCCGGGGAGAAGGGAUGUCACAGAAGAGACGAGAUCUUCAGCGACUUCAGGCGUCGAAUUCCUGCGCGGGCCGGGCAUACUGAUUGACUAAUUCGCCUGAACUGUCUGCUCCGGGCAGGUGGAAGCCUGGAAUUCCGGGGAGAAGGGAUGUCACA